AACUUUUGGCAACGGAUCUCUUAGCUCUCGCAUCGAUGAAGAACGCAGCGAAAUUCGAUAAGUAAUGUGAAUUGCAGAAUUCAGUGAAUCAUCGAAUCUUUGAACGCACCUUGCGCUCCUUGGUAUUCCGAGGAGCAUGCCUGUUUGAGUGUCAUUAAAUUCUGAACCUUCCAGCUUUUAUUAGCUUGGUUAGGCUUGGAUGUGGGGGUUGUGGGCUUCAUUAAUGAGGUCAGCUCUCCUUAAAUGCAUUAGCGGAACUUUUGUGGACCGUCUAUUGGUGUGAUAAUUAUCUACGCCGUGGAUGUGAAGCAGCUUUAUGAAGUUCAGCUUCUAAUCGUCCAUUGACUUGGACAAUUUUUGACAAUUUGACCUCAAAUCAGGUAGGACUACCCGCUGAACUUAAGCAUAUCAAUAAGCGGAGGCU
rnacentral:misc_RNA from 1 species